rnacentral:lncRNA from 1 species
CUGGAAUGUUCUUAGACUCAAGGUUCUGACCCUUCCAGAAAGGCCAUGCCAGCAUCAGAACCCAAAGGGAAGUCCCACGACUGUGGGACUCUGCCUGAGCUCAAAACCCAGUAAGGGCGACGAGCCCCAUUGGCAUGACAACGCACUAUGCUAUAUAUUCAGAGCUUAUACGCUUCUCUGCGGGCAUAAGAACACCUUUUCUUUUUAAGUUUUUUAACAACCCAGGGGAGGGUCAACAGUUUAAUUCAACUUAUGCCUGGCUAUUAAGUAACUCCAGCAAACGACAGGAGAGGAACCUCGGCCACGAGGCCACUGGUGUCACUGUUCUCCAGAAUGCCCCUGGGGGCUGGGAGAUGUGGGGCAGGGCUGCGGAGAGGGUGGUGGCAUGGAUCUGGUUCAAGGAUGUGGGAGCAGCGAAACGCAGGAGGAUGGGCAAACUGAAGCAGAUCCAGACAACGGGACAUUACAGAGCAGUGGAAAACACUCAACCACGUUCACACAGAACACAGAUGACUCCACCCAGCGCCAGACACAAAAGUCACAAACAGGAGGGUUCCGUUUUUAAGUGAAAAACAGGCAAAGGUAACCUAAGGUAAGUCCAAAUUGUAGCUUUGAGGAGGGGGAUGGAGGGCGGGAGGGUCCAAGCCUGCCCUGGGGGGACCCACAGCGUACUUGCUGCGUGAACUCAUCGUGCUGUGCGCUGUUCUGGCUGUAUAUUCUAUUUUCAUUAAAAAAUUUAUGUAAAGAUUUUUAUUUAUUUAUUUGACAGACAGAGAUCACAAGUAGGCAGAGAGAGGAGGAAGCAGGCUCCCCGCUGAGCAGAGAGCCCGACGCGGGACUCGAUCCCAGGACGCUGGGAUCACGACCUGAGCCGAAGGCAGAAG